rnacentral:lncRNA from 1 species
GCAUGAACAAAAGAGGAGAUCGUUCUCCUCUUGGGUGAGAGGCCUAGAACUGUUCUAGAUUUUUUAGUGAAAGAAAAACCAAAGAAAAAAGAGUCUUCAUCUAAAUUUUCUUCAUCAUCCAGCAUCCUUCUCUGAUCCAUCUUUGAUAUCAGAAAGGUCUGAGGUGAUUGAAGAAGGAGAUCAAGUCAGAUCUGCUAUCAAAAGCUGAUUGCGCAAGCUAUUGAAGGAACCAGAUCUAGGGU